rnacentral:misc_RNA from 1 species
AGAAAGAGCAACUGAGAGCGUGCUAGCUGUUGUCGCGCGCCGCUCAGGCUCCAAAUGGAUGAGUAAGCCAUCUCAGCCGUUUUCUCGGACCAUUCCACCCGGCCUUACCCGCGAAACUUCAUGCUCCAACAUGGAACACUCUUGGCAGAUUGUCCCGGCCUCCACCAAACACGACAAAUGUACGCCCAGCCUCGCCGGACAUUGUCAUGAAACUCAAUCCAACAAUGCCAUAGUUCGGUAUCUUCCCGUGGCCUUCUUUCUGUGGCGAUGGCUGACUGGCGGCAGCAAGUCGGAGACGAGACCUGCGCAUACGAUACCGUACAGCAUGCACCAGACUCUGUACGGUGCAAUACCGGCUCUGUACGGUGCAAUACCGGCUCUGUACGGUGCAAUACGGCUUUGUAUGUACGGUUUUGAAGAGACUGAAACAGCGCCGGUUCAGGGACUCUGGGUACAAUGAGACAUGUUGCAGUGUUUGGGGUUUGAAACGAGUUGCGACAUAGUACGAGUACGAGUACAAGUGCACAUUUGCUCCAAGUUUUUGUACAAGUACAAACUUGUAGGACGUGAAUGUCGAUCUAACUGCGGGAAACGUAUCGUGGCAACGGCUCAGCUUGUAUAGUGUAUGAUACCUGGAUGUACCGGUACAACUAUGUACUGACCAGACUGUUCAUCUUCACCACAGCAAAAUGAGAUUGCACACAUCCUUCAGAAUGAAACAAUCAGUUGACAUCUCUGGCAUUCACAUUCAAAAGCGCAUAUAUGGACACCAGCUCGGAGUCAGGUCACGUGACCAGCAACCUUGUAGAGCCGUUCUGUUAUUAUACAAAAAAAUUAAAAAAUUAAAAAUUAA